UAUCUUAUUAAUUGAAGAAAAUAGUGCAAGCCCAAACCAAUUAAACGUGAGAAGUAAAAGGAAGCGAAAUUCAUCGUGUUUCUUACUUCACAUCUCAUGGGAAACUUCAAUCAAAGAAAGUAGGAAACUUUCUUCCUUCCUUCAUUCAUUAUAGCAGAGUAAGAUAAAAUAGGAGAUUUUCUUAUUUCCAUUUCAAUGACCAAUUCGGUAAAGGAAAGAGAAAUUGUUCCCUUGAUUCAAGAUUCUUCACCGAAUUCAAGAGUCUAAUUUAGGGAAUAUGGAGCAUAUGAAAUUUUUUUUUCAUCUCUGCAAGUAAUUUCCCUAAAAAUGAAAAUUGGGGAAUUCUAAAUUGGGUAUAUAUUCCCUAAUUUUUACCACAAUAAUACACAAGCAGAGCGACAGAAAUUUAGAGUUGUGAGAACAAGGUAGUAAUACAAGAAGAUCUGAGGCUACGAGAUUGAGGAGUACUGCAUGAGAGUGGUCGACAUUUGUGGAGAAUCAAGUGCAGCGGGGUCCUUGGGUUAAUCCGAAUUUCAUAAUACAUGAACACACGCUUAUGACGUGAACAAUUGUUGUUUGAUCAAGAAAUAAAGCGGACAGCCAGAAAAACAAGGAAAGAAUUCUUAUAAAACAACUAGAAGAAUGUCUUUAUCUUGAGAACUUAUUCAAAGACAAAGAAGAGAUCGGUGAUGAAAGUGACCUUGAAGGAGCUAGCUGCACCUAAGCUGGAUGAUGAACCACUUGGCAUCGUUUUUCCAACCUUGAAAAAACCUCUAAAGUUAAACUCAGGUUUUCCAUCCUUUUACCAAAAUUCUAUGGUCGUGGAGGUGAAGAUCCAAAUCGAUUUCUUAAAGAAUUUUUGGUUGUGUGUUCUUCUAUGAAACUAGAAGGUAUUGAUCCUAAUCAUGUCAAACUACAUUCUUUUCCAUUUUCAUUGUUUGACAUAGUUAAAGAUUGGUUGUAUUCCCUUCCACCUGGAUCAGUUACUACAUGGGAUGCACUACAAAAAGCUUUUCUAGAAAAUUUCUUCCCUGCAAGUGGAAUUGGAUCCAUUAGGAAGGAGAUUUGUGGUGUCAAACAACAUUCUAAUGAGUCAUUAUAUGAAUAUUGGGAACUUUUUAAGCGACUUUAGGCUUCUUGCCCCCAACAUCAAAUUAGUGACCAACUUCUUAUCCAAUAUUUUUAUGCGGGUAUUUUGGGUAACGAUAAAAAUUUAAUUGAUGCGGCUAGUAGGGGUGUUUUAGUUGAUAAAACACCUACACAAGCUAGACAAUUAAUUAUUAGGUGGUUUUGAUUUUUAUGAGGGUAUUUGUUUUGAUUUUCUCACUCUACUGAUGCUUGUCCUACUAUGCAAUCUGAAAAUGCGAAUGCAUUAGGUGGCUUUUCCGGCCAGCCCCAAACAAAAUAUGACCCCUUUUCACCAACUUAUAAUGAAGUUUGGAGAUACCAUCCGAACUUAAGAUAUGGACAUAGACCUCAGUUUGCUCAAGCUAAUCCUCGACCUUUUGUUCAUCAAAACCCUCAAUCUCAACCUUCUAACCCUUCCUUAGAUUUCUUAGUGAAGAAUCUUACCACCCAAAUUCGCCAAGUACAUAAUUAGAAUGUUGAGUUUCAAAAGAAAACUGAUUCCCAUCUCCAACAACUUGACACCCAGAUUAGUCAAAUUUGUACUUCUUUAAGUAAUAUAGAAAAUCAUGUGUCAGGCAAACUACCAUCUCAACCUUUGUAGAAUCCAAGUAAAUAAGUUAAUGCAGUCUCAGUAGAAAGAAGAACCACAAUGGCUGAGCCUUUUGGACCUUUGAAUGCACAUGAAGAUAAUGAAAUGCAGAGAACUAGAAUUCCGUUAUUAGAUGCAAUAAAGGUGGUUCUUAAAUAUAGUAAACUCUUGAAUGACUUUCUCACUACAUCUGACAUACACAAAGGAGAAGAAGUUUUGAGACCUCUUAGUAUACCACCCCCAAUGUGUGAAGACCCUGGAUCAUUCUCAAUUCCAUGUAGGAUAGGUGAGACUAUUUUUCGACAAUGCGUGUUAGAUUUAGGAUCGGCAGUAAAUGUUUUCCCCUCUCUUUAUAUGACAUGUAUAAGAUAGGACCAUUAAAUACUUGUAGUGAGAUACUUACUGUAUAUGAUGCUAGUAGUGUUUAUUCUAUCGGAUUAUUAGAGAACAUUCUCGUUCAAGUUAAGCACAUGUGCUUUCUAGUUGAUUUUAUUGUUAUCAAUGGAAUCCACAUUUCUGAGAUUUUGUUAGGGAGACCAUUCCUAAAGACUUCAAAAUCAUUAAUUGAUGUUGCUCACGAUUGUGUCAUUCUUGAGAGCAAUGGAGAGAAACUGAAUUUGAAUGUAUUUGAACCGGAAGGUUCUGAUAUAGAGUCAGGUGCUACUAAUUAUGUUGCUUAUUGUCUUGUGCAGCUUGGAACAGAAAAUUUGGAGAUUUUACUAGAAGAGAUGGUGAAUGAUGUCGUACUAGAGCACAUGUUAAUGAAUGCUCUAAAUGAAAUCAAUUUGCUAGAAUGAAGAUAGAAGUACGUCGAGCCAAUGCCGUAAACUAAAGGCGCUACGUGGGAGGCAACCCAUGAUUAUUGUGAUGGCGACCAUAUUGCGAGUCUUGUUCCACGCUUACUGGUAAUCUAGCCCCUUGGCCGCACAUAUUUACACACACCACAUUCCCUGGUCUAGUACAUUAUUGACAGCAGUACCACAGCACAAUACCAAGACAUUUUCACCUGCUCCCAUCUUCGUCACAAAACCAGCUAAGUCUUCUCAUUCUUUCGGACAAUGAAGAAUGAAAAUUGAAAGAAGAAAAAAGAAAAGCCACACUCCUACAACAAACCUAAGACAGAUGACAAGAAGAUAUUAAAAAGUGGGCCAAAACCCAUCAUCAAAAAGCAGAUCCAGCAGAAAAUAAAAAGAAAAAAAUAAACCUAAGACUAAGGUGGACAGCAGCAAUAAAAAGGAAUCCUACGGAAGACUUCAUGGAAAAAUCAUGCAGCAUUGAGGGACGAAGACGAGGAGAUUGAGACAGAAGUCUCACAACAGCAGACGCUACAGAACGCAGCAACAGAGGCGACGAGAGUUCAUCUGUUUCGGGAGUUUAUCCUGUUUCAUUUCCUCUAAUUAUUUCAAUUGUUAAUCUUUGUUUAAUUAUUAUGUCAAAUUUUAAUUGUUCAUCGUUAUACAAUUGGGUUAAUUUAGAUAUGUGUUGCUAAAUUUAAUUGUUCUAGGUUAGGGAGGUAGUCUUUUAUAUUUCUAUCAAUGAAUUGAAUUUGUUGUUUGGGUUUGAUUUAUUAUAAUUGCAAUUUGAUAA